UGGGGAAUAUUGCACAAUGGGGGAAACCCUGAUGCAGCGACGCCGCGUGAGUGAGGAAGUAUUUCGGUAUGUAAAGCUCUAUCAGCAAGGAAGAAAAUGACGGUACCUGACUAAGAAGCCCCGGCUAACUACGUGCC
rnacentral:rRNA from 1 species